rnacentral:rRNA from 1 species
UACGAAGGGGGCUAGCGUUGCUCGGAAUCACUGGGCGUAAAGCGCACGUAGGCGGACCGUUAAGUCGGAGGUGAAAGCCCAGGGCUCAACCCUGGAAUUGCCUUCGAUACUGACAGUCUCGAGUAUGGAAGAGGUUGGUGGAACUCCGAGUGUAGAGGUGAAAUUCGUAGAUAUUCGGAAGAACACCAGUGGCGAAGGCGGCCAACUGGUCCAUUACUGACGCUGAGGUGCGAAAGCGUGGGGAGCAAACAGG